GGGCAUCGGCGGCAGCGCCACCUUGGGGUUGGGCACGGACGGAGCCGCCGGCAUGCCCGGCAGCGCCACCCGGGGCACCGUGACCACCAGAACCGCCGUCAUGGGCGGCAAGGUGACGGCGGGCAUCUGUGGCACCGCCAGCAAGGUCGGCAAGGCCGGGAGGCCAGGGAUGGCGGCAGCAGGGGACGCGGCUGCCGCUGUCGUGUCGGCCAG
rnacentral:lncRNA from 1 species